ensembl:snRNA U6 U6 spliceosomal RNA
ACGCUCGCUUCAAUAGCACACAAACGAAAACUGGAACAAUACAGAGCGGAUUAGCAUGGUCCCUGCGCAAGGAUGACACAUAAAUUCAUUAAGUGUCCCCCUUUUAU